AAAUGAUUUUAAUAAGACACAGUCUGAUGAUCUGUGAAAAUAUACUACAGAUAAAUUUGCAUAGAGACUCUUUGCAUUGGAAAGACUUGAGGAUUUUUUAUAGACGCAUCAGAAGUUCAUCAUCAGAAAUCUAAACUCACAGUCACCAUGACCUUCAUCAGCAUCUUCAUCUGGAUGUUAACUUGUUUCUGUUUCAGAGAAUCAAGAGGUGAAGUGACCGUCAAAUCUGUUCAUCUACGAGACACAGUUACUAUCACCUGUAAAACUAACCCUGAAGUCUACCAGGGCUGGAGUGAUCAGCCUUUAUCCUGGUACUUACAGAAACCUGGAGAAGCUCCUAAACUCCUGAUAUAUUAUGCAAGCACACGCCAGUCUGGAACUCCAUCAAGAUUCAGUGGCAGUGGAUCAAAAACAGAUUUUACUCUGAGCAUCAGUGAAGUUCAGACUGAAGAUGAAGGAGUUUAUUACUGUCAGGGUAGACACAGUGGCAAUGUGUUCACACAGUGAUAAAGAGUCGUACAAAAACCUCCAUCAGUUAAAGAGGAACUGCAGACACACAGGACUGGUUUUGCACACAAACAGAAACACAAUCCUAUUUUUUAAAACUAAAGUCUGUAUAAAACCACUCAAGAUAAGAUAAAUCUCUGAUGAAUAUGACUUAUGAAAACUGAAACACAUCACAGAGGCCUAUAGACGUUUUUAUUGGAUGCACACUUGUUGCCAUUGUUAAGUGUCUGGCCCGAUGUUAACUUCCGGUCUGUGUUUGUUAACAGUCCUGCUAGCGGCAAAUCUGAAAUCUGGCACAAAUACCUUGUCAAAAAUAAAAGAUUACUAUGAAGUGAAUCAUACAAAACAUAGGAUUAUUAUAAAAAAACAAGAACAAAACCCCACCCUGACCCCGAUGUCACAGGGGCAAAAGCAAAUUGUACAAAAUGUGUCAUAGGUUCGGGAGGAGCCUAAAUAUUCAG